rnacentral:lncRNA from 1 species
GCCACUGAUGCCAUCCUUUGUCAAGCUUUUUUCUUAACUCUAAAGGAGGCAGCUCGAUAUUGGUAUGCCAAUUUGAAGCCGACUUCAAUCUAUUCCUUCAAAAAGCUGAACCGAUCUUUCAUCGAUCAUUUUGUCAGUAGCCGACAUCAGUAGAAGUAGUCCGACUACCUCUACACUAUCAAGCAGAAGGAGGACGAGUCGAUCUAAGCU